ACACACUGUGUCCUACUAGACUAGACAAGGCCCUCACUCAGCUAUUCCCAGCCAGCCACGGUGCUCAGGGUAGACCGCAGCACGCAUGGUGGACAGAGGGACAGAGGAUGAACGGAGAAGCACAGGGCUGGCUGCUGGGGACCUGGCAGAUGCUUCCUAUCCCUGCUGGCUGGUGACAUCACCGCUGUGACGUCACACUCUGGCUUCCUGGGCUUUGGGAGUGCUGGUUCUGGUGAUAACCACUUCCUGCUCCCGGCCAGGGUGACUCAGGACUUCCUUCUGCUCCCGGAGUCAUCACUGAGCCUGGCUCUCCUGUAUCCUCAUCUAGGUAGGCCAGGAACUGGGUUUCCUAAUGAGUGACCAGGAAAACGGAACUUUCAAGGGGCGUGUCUGUUUAAUGAGGAAUCAGCCUGAAUGGAAGCCAACCCAGUGCCUUUCCAGGUACAAGCUGUUGUCAUGAAGCCUGGAGUUUUUCCGAGAUGCCAGAGGCAGCAGCGCAGUGCUCUUGUUUCUCAUCUAAACCUGUCCCUUUCUCAGAACAGAGCCCGCGUGUGUGAUUCCUUCGUGGUCCCAGAGCGGGUCAUCUUGCUUGCAGGGUAGCCUUGGGGCACCACUGCUUGUCAGGGUUGAGCAGAAAGGCAGACCAGAAUCCUCUGAGUCCCCCUCCCACUUCCAGCUGGUUGACUGACAUUCCACCCGACCAGAAGGAACCAGAGGAGGAAGAAGGCCUGAGAAACUGGAGGGAGGCUGCUCAGGCGGUUCUGUAGAAUGUUCUAGAAUACCUAGAAAAAAAAAAAUAAAGCACCCAACAGGCUGAAGCAAGGAAAUUACUGUAGGUAGUGAGUUCUUGGCCAGCAUGGGCUACAUGGGUGUAACUCUGCAUAGAAUAACCAACCAACCAACCAACCACCAAGGCUGGAAAACUGGCUUGGCAGUUAAGGGCAAGUCCUGCUCUUGGAGAGGACCCAAGUUUAGUGCCCAGCAUCUACACCGGGUGGUUCACAACCACCUGCAUCUCUGGAGAACACAAAAACUUCUUUUUCGUGUGUGGUUUUGUUUGUUUGCUUGUUUGAGACAGGGUCUCCUUGUAGCCCACCUGUACUGGAAUUCACUCUGUAGACCAAGCUGGUCUAGAACUCAGAUUUGCCAGCCUCCUGAGUGCUGGGAUUAAAGGCAUGCGCCAGCACUGCCCAGCUUCGACAAUGUCUUUUGGCCUCCAUGAAUACUUUAAGUCAUAUGUGUGCACACACGAGAACACAUGUGCUCUUGCACAUACACACUCACACACACCAAUAAAAAUCUUAACAAGAAAAAACCAUCCCGAGCACUAAUUCUUAGGGCCUGGACUUUGGGUUGGGGAGCCAGGUUUGCACUGCAGCGGGGCUGGCCCUCACUUCCAGGCUGGGGAAGCUAUCCAGCUCUUCCAGCUUCUCCUCAAAUGGGCCACGGCCAUGGUAGAAGACAGACCUCCUUCAUGCAGCAGCACGGAAGCCAGCUCUGGAAACACCUACCCGGGGAAGGGAGGGAUCCAGCUCCAGGGGCUGCCUUAGGAAGGCAGGACGACUCGCCUGAGAUCACACAGGACCAUCAGGACCGUCGCAGGGUCUGUAGAUAUAUGUGUAUUUCUCCUGAAAUCGGGGAAAAUAAACUCAUUUUCUGAGG
rnacentral:lncRNA from 1 species